ACACGUAGGGGGCAAGCGUUGUUCGGAAUUACUGGGCGUAAAGGGCAUGUAGGCGGCCUUGUAAGCUUGGCGUGAAAGUCCACGGCUUAACCGUGGGAUUGCGUUGAGAACUGCGAGGCUUGAGUGACGGAGAGGGAGCUAGAAUUCCUGGUGUAGGGGUGGAAUCUGUAGAGAUCAGGAAGAAUACCAAUGGCGAAGGCAAGCUCCUGGCCGAUGACUGACGCUGAGGUGCGAAAGUGUGGGGAUCAAACAGGAUUAGAUACCCUGGUAGUCCACACUGUAAACGAUGUGCACUAGGUGCUGGGGCGGAUGCCUCAGUGCCGUAGCUAACGUGAUAAGUGCACCGCCUGGGGAGUAUGCUCGCAAGGGUGAA
rnacentral:rRNA from 1 species